rnacentral:lncRNA from 1 species
UGUUAGAAAUUCUUUAUUAUAAAGCAGUUGUUUGGUGUGGAAAAGAAAUUGAUGGUACUGAAUUCUGCAGGAUCAUUGAGAUUUAAGACCAUCAUUUUGGUGUACAUGCAGGGUCAGUGCAGCAAGGGUUAAAGAAAGAGAAUUGCUUUUAUAUUCAACAGAAAGAAUAAAUGAGGAGGCCUUGCAAGAAGAUAUUGUUGAAUGGAUGAUGUGUGCAGCUAAGCCAACACUGGAAUAUCAGAUGACUGAUGAUGAAAUCAAAGGCUCUUGAACUUGCCACAGCAAGAAUAUAAUUCCGACAAUGACAGAGAUAGUACAUUUGGUAGAAGUGAGAAAAUAUCUUUUUAUGAGGGUUUGGAAAAUGGUGAUAAUACCUAAAAUUUUAUAUAAUUUACAAAAAAAAAAAAAAAAAAAAAAAAAAAAAAAAAAAAACCCUCACUCUGGAGCACCCUAAAGUUUUAAAACAAAUCUCCAUCAGAAAAAUGUUAAAAAAAAAAAAGAAAUACUUAAUAAUAUCUCUUAUUUUUAUAUGUCUAUUAAAUACAUCCCUAAUGCCUUUGAAUAUCCCUGUAAUCACUAAUGUAAAUGAAUAAUAUAAUACAUAUAAUAAUUUAAUGCUUAUAAUAAAUUAUUGUAAUAUGUAUAUAAUAAUUUAAUUAAAUGUAUCUGAUAUGUCUUCUUUAUUUUGCAAUGUUAGUCUGUAUAUUAUGAUUUAUCUUUUCUGUCCUAAAAUCCGCACAACCUGUGGUCCCAAGUUUUACGGAUUUCUGGACUUCUACUGUAUAUGUACUCAAUUGUAUUAUGUUAGUUAUAUAUAUGAACUUGGAAAAUAAAGCUUCACAAGUGAAAAAUAA